rnacentral:rRNA from 1 species
ACGCUCGACACCUACGAGAGGCAGCAGUAGGGAAUCUUCCACAAUGGGCGCAAGCCUGAUGGAGCAACACCGCGUGAGUGAAGAAGGGUUUCGGCUCGUAAAGCUCUGUUGUUGGAGAAGAACGUGCGUGAGAGUAACUGUUCACGCAGUGACGGUAUCCAACCAGAAAGUCACGGCUAACUACGUGCCAGCAGCCGCGGUAAUCUGAGCGGGCUGGCAAGGC